GAACUCAUCGCACACAAGGAUGUGAGCAAGCUGCUAGGGCUCACAGCGGAGCCACCUGGAGAAGCACUUUCGAGAUGUCUUUGAAACGCCCACCGACACCUGUUUUAGAGCCAUGCUCCUGGAUCACGGUUUAAGAUCAUUCCCACGUUUCAGUUUUUUGGCCUUGGAACCAAUGGCCGCCUGUCCAAGUCCAAAUCGGCCAAGUACAGAGUGUGGACGGGUAGCUGGAUGGAUGCCAGUUUGCUUCCUUGGCACUGCAGAGGCCAACCGAGGACAUUUGGCAGGAUGGUGGUAGGCCUACAGACUAAAUUUAGACUGGAGGAUGAAGACCUUGGUGGGCCCAAGCUGAGCAAGGGGAACCAGAGUUUGCAGCAGCUCUGCAUGGCACAGACCAUAACAUCAACUGGACAAUAGGAGAAAGCAAUGAAUGGAAACGAAGAACAGGUGUUGGUCUGAUCCCGAAGACAGGUAGGACUCUGCUAGCUGAAUGGGAGGCCAGCCACUCAGUGCUUAUCAGUCCCUUCUUGCAGCCAUGCUUAGAGCAACCCACUUGUACUUCCUGGUAGGGUCUCUCUUCCGGUCCCUUACAUACAGAGAACUACAAUUCAUGAUAGUUUAUGAUAAGUCCAUUUUAUGGUUAAAUUGUUCUGUCAAUGCUAAGUCAGUGAGAUUUAAUAAACAUAAAUCUGGGUACAAAAACAGGUAUACAACGAAAUGGAGGGAGCAGGCUAUGGUCAAGUGUAAUAGCAUCUACCUUCUAAGGCUGUAACAAUCUGUGGAAGCUUUAAAGCUUUGCGUAUAUCAUUUUUAUUGGAAUUUUAUAUCAAUCCAGGUCCCAGUUCACCUCCUUGAGCAAGGCACCGGACACCUCCAAUGCCCUCUCCCCAUUGCUCCCCGGGCGCUGCACAAUAGCUGCCCACUGCUCAUAGUAUUAGGAUGGGUUAAAUGCAGAGGACCAAUUUCACUGUGUGUGCUCUGCUGUGUGCAUGUAUGUGACAAUAAAGAGGGUUUCAUCCUCCGAUUCUACCAACAUAACGAAAAUAAACAGCAUGGCAGUGCCGAACCAUGUCUAUCACAACUGGACCUCGGUUGAAAAUUUGGUAGGUCUAGUCAGAUUAAUGUCACUUUGACAGUCACAAAAUUACUGGUCCUCUGCUUGCUACAUGGUUACACACCAUGGAUUACCACAAUUGUGUUCAGGUCAAGAUUGUUGGG